UACAGAGGUCCCGAGCGUUGUUCGGAUUCAUUGGGCGUAAAGGGUUCGUAGGCGGUGUGGCAAGUCGGGAGUGAAAUCUCUGGGCUCAACUCAGAGACUGCUUCCGAAACUGCUGUGCUGGAGUGUGGGAGAGGCGCGUGGAAUUGCAGGUGUAGCGGUGAAAUACGUAGAUAUCUGCAGGAACACCCGUGGCGAAAGCGGCGCGCUGGACCACUACUGACGCUGAGGAACGAAAGCUAGGGGAGCAAACAGG
rnacentral:rRNA from 1 species